CUCCUGUCGGCCAGCCGGCGUGGCUGGGGCUGCUCACUAAUGCUUACUGGUUAACUGGUUACUAUUUUACAUCCCUACCAGACACACAGGUAUAUGCCCUGUCCUCUAAAUCACUGUGAAUUAUUGAGAUUCCAUUUCCUGCUUGCUUGGUGUGGAGAGCUCACCUAGCAACUGCCCAGCUGACUGUGCUGGCUACAUGCUGCAGGCUGCUCUAGCCUGGUGUACACAGGAGGUGGUGGGUGUCCUGAGUCUGUGAGAAGAGGCUGUGCAGGCACAGCUCCAAUCCAGCUACUGAAAAGUCAAUAUCUACGAGCAAAUCGCUUGGGGCAUGGGGGAAAAGGGCUACAAAAGGGACCCGCAGGAAUGCCACAUGAAAGCCAAGGAGCUGCGGCAGGCGUAACAAAAGGCAAUGGUGUCUGACAGUCACUCUGGUGCAGAGCCACAGAUUUGCUGCUUUUACAAAGAGCUGCAUGCAUGUCUCAGCGGAGACACCACCACCACCCCCAAGAGCUCUGCGGAUACUUCAGAGGAGUCAGAGUCACAGACCCCAGAGUGAACAGUGAGGAGGAGUUGUUGGAUGAGGAAGAGCAGGAGGAGGAGUAUGGGGGAGAGGCGACCAGUGAUUCAGUAGCACAGCAAGCCAGGACCUGUGUUUUGAGUCCAGCGCAGGCAAGUCUGAUGCAGGGGAAAGAACCUCUGAACCAGUGCUCUACCAUCUGCAGCUGCUCCGUGAAUGCCAACAACAACCUUGAAUUAUUUCUUUCCAUAUCCCACAGCAAGCUGAUCUCCAAAGAAUUGUCAAGUUUCCCACGGUUCCUCUGCAGAUACUGCAGGAUCAGGUGCAUUGUGCUUGCAACACUCAUCAAAACAGUGCAGAACUGUGCAUGCUUCUCAGAGAGAUGGAGGAUGCACGGGUUUGCACGGCUUUUGAAAAAAUGCAUGAAACAUUAUGGGAUGCAGAUAAAAUUCUGGGAUGGAAAAAACUACAUCACGGAACAUUGAAACCAUGUUCCCAAUCACUCCUGUAUGACUCGUUUGCCCCAAUGAGACAUUGUAAACCCUUCCCAAAACACCCUGUGCUAGAUGGUGGUGAGUUCCACAGUGGGAUAGCUACCCAGGGUGCACUGCUGUCUGCAUCAAUGCAAGCAUUGCCAGUGAGGAUGCGCACUGAUGACACAAGAAGCAUCGUGUAGACAUGCAAAAGAGAUGUAAUUACUGCAGCAGCUGUACGUUGACAUAACUCAGGUCGACCUAAUUUUGUAAUGCAGACUUGCUCUGAACCAGUAAGAGUAUUUUUGCCAAUAUAACUAACAGUUCUUUGAAUGAAAUAAGCUGUACCAGCAAAAGGACCUUUUUCUGAGUAUAACUUUGUUUAUACUGGGCUUUUGUUGGUAUGGCUACGUUGGUUGGGGGAGUGAUUUCCCUCCCUCAUGCCUAACUGAUAUAAAAAGGAAACGGGUGGUAGUAUUUGUAUUUUCCUUUUUUUGGGAUGGGAUGCAGGGGGGAGGUUUUGUUUUUUGUAUCAGCUCUGGCCAGUAAAUAUCUUAUGAGUAUGAAGCUUCACUCUCUCUAGCUUCUAGAAAGGAAGAGCCUUCUGUUUCUUCUCCCACCAUCAGAGCCGUCUAGCUAUUGCAGGGAGCAGAAUUAUUCUCUAUCCUAGCAAAUAACCCCAGAGCAUACUUCUACUACUCCUUUUUCCUAGGCAGCAGCAGCAGAGUGAAAUGGAUGUACUUGACAGUUUCACACUGACAACUGCAAAAGUUUGAAAAGCAGCUGUGUGACUGACCAGAUUUUUUAAGUUUGUUUCAUAGAAUAUCAGGGUUGGAAGGGACCUCAGCAGGUCAUCUCGUCCAACCCCCUGCUCAAAGCAGAGCCAAUCCCCAAUUUUUGCCCCAGAUCCCUAAAUGGCCCCCUCAAGGAUUGAACUCUUAACCCUGGGUUUAGCAGGCCAAUGCUCAAACCACUGAGCUAUCCCUCCCCUGUGCUGGUACUGCUUGGCAACGUUAUAAAGAUGAGCAGACGAACAGAGCUGUGUUUGUGAAGUAAAGAAGGCAACACUGAUUUUUUUAUGUUCACAUUUAGAAGGUUAUUAUUGCAGUCAGAAAAGCAAGGAACGUUUAAAUCAAAACUUCGGCAAAAUAUCUACUAAUGGCUUGGCAGCAGGGAAAGCUUACUACUUACCACUGGUUAAUGGAUUUUGCAAGUCUUGCUGAAAACCAGCAUCAUCAUAGUAUAUGGCCAUGCUGCUUACAGAGAAUCAAAUUGACAUAUAUAGAUUACCUAUUUUUUCCCUUGCCCAUGUCUGUCAGUCCUUAGAUUAAGAGCUCCUCAGACCUUACACUGCCACCCUUCUUGAAUGCCUGUACUGUGCUUAGCAUAUUGUGGGCACGACUGUAAAUAUUAAAAGAUAACAAUGUCUCAA